UCUCUCUCUCUCUCUCUCUCUCUCUCUCUCUCUCUCUCUCUCUCUCUCUCUCUCUCCAUGAGGUCACACUUCUCAGUGUAUUUCUCAAUUCCACUCAGAGGAUUAUUGAAUUUUUUUCCAUCUAUGGUGCCUGCCCGAGAUAUAUGCACUAAUACAAGAAGAAGGGAUCACAAAAGAACCAUUGUAUAGUUUCAAGAAGCACAAGGUCAAAGAGACCAACCAAUCCUGGUGGGACUGAUGAGAAUCUAUACCAAGACAGAGGAUUUGUUUUGAGUAUGAGGAUGUGACUGUGAAAAUGGCUCUUGGAACUCAAAUUUCACCACAGUCUUUGUCACUGGGACAAGAUUUGAUGGAUCAACCUUGGCCUCAUUUAGCUAUGGAGAUGAUUCCCCAGGAUGCAUUCAUGCCCGUUUUCUUCCGAGCGCUAUCUUUUCCAUCACCACAGCUUGACACAAUGAUCACAGGCAUAUAUCCCCCUAUAUCCCAGCAUGACUUCACUGUGACACAGCUUUUCCAGUCAAAAGAAGGAUCUGUCCUUUGAAGCCAAAACUUGCAUAAAAUACAUAUGUUUUUCCAUUAACCACCAAAGCAGCUUUUCUUAUUAACAACUAUAACAGGUUUUCAGCUCCC